GUAAGCAGAGCUAGGGCAGUUUCGAAAUCGGUGAUAUAAGCAGUCUGAGAGUUCACAGAAGGCGGUUAGGGCGUAAACGAAAGAAACUUGCCGAAGAAGAGGGCUUUCCUUCUUCGACCAUAAAACCCUAAUCUUAUCUUCAUUCCAACAACCAAAAGAAGGAAGACAUGGAUCGGUACCAGAGGGUCGAGAAGCCAAGAGCCGAAACACCGAUUGACGAGAAUGAAAUUCGGAUUACGAGUCAAGGAAGGAUGCGAAGCUAUAUCUCUUAUGCUAUGAGUCUACUUCAGGAAAAAGGUUCGACCGAGGUUGUGUUCAAGGCAAUGGGUAGAGCUAUCAACAAAACUGUAACAAUUGUGGAGUUAAUUAAGAGGAGGAUUGUUGGUCUUCAUCAAAUUACAUCAAUUGGAUCUACUGAUAUAACUGAUACAUGGGAGCCCCUGGAAGAAGGACUCCUCCCUCUGGAAACCACAAGGCAUGUUUCAAUGAUUACAAUCUCUCUCUCAAAGGAGGAGUUGAAUACAUCCUCCGUUGGGUACCAGUCUCCACUACCAGCUGACCAGGUCAAGACAUCAACCGAAUUUGAUUUUGAAGGAGAAGGAUCACCUACUGGUCGUGGAAGGGGCCGUGGUGGUAGAGGGAGGGGAAGGUCUAGAGCAGCGUAUGGGAAUGGAUAUGCAGCUCCUGAGUAUGAGGAUGGAGGUUGGGAUAGGAAUCGUGGUUAUGCGAGGGGCAGGGGUCGAGGAAGAGGUCGUAACUUCCGUGGCCGUGGAAGAGGAGGGUACAAUGGUCCUCAGAUUGAUAACCAGCAAGAUGCAGGACAUUACAACCAGGAAGGUCCUGCUCCAGGCCGUGGGAUGUUCACGGGUCAGUUUGGAUCGGGUUUACCCUAAGACCGUCAACCAAACCGAAUGUGUCAGGUUAGAGAAAUUGCCACCUACUGCCGGCCGUCAGCAUAUUCAAAAUUGACCGUGGCCCACCAUUCAGAUUGGUCGUUGGUUCGGUCGGCGAGACAUGAAAAGAAAUCAAUCCACUUCCCACUCUUUCUCAGGUCGUGGCCAUGGGAGGGGAUACCGUGGAAGGGGUCGUGGUUUUCGAUCUAAUGGGCUGAUACAUGCAGCUGUUGCUGUUGGAGGCGCUUGACUGGUCACCUCUGGACACAACACAAUGCAGCGUUUCGACUUUAUGAUGUGUUUGGAUGCUUGCUCCAUAUCUCUAUCUGUGUUUACCUUUUUUCUUUCCUUACUAAUUUCAGUUGAAGGAAGUAGGAAGAUGUACACUAAUUUCGCUGAGUAUGCAACUGCAGCUCCGCAUUUGGUAGCCUUUUUCAUUUUACAUUUUUAAUAAUCUUUUUAAAAUUUUCGUAGAGGUUGGUGGAUGUCUGAAUUAGUGUAAUUGGUUUUGUCAAGUGAGAACCACAUUCUUUUAUUUGUGAAGUUUUUGAAAUUAAUCUGUCACCAAGUUUUGCAUUUUAUGAA